UACGUAGGGGGCAAGCGUUGUCCGGAAUCAUUGGGCGUAAAGAGCGUGUAGGCGGCCCGAUAAGUCCGCUGUGAAAGUCCAGGGCUCAACCCUGGAAUGCCGGUGGAUACUGUCGGGCUCGAAUCCGGAAGAGGUGAGUGGAAUCCUGGUGUAGCGGUGAAAUGCGCAGAUAUCAGGAGGAACACCAAUGGCGAAGGCAGCACUCUGGGACGUGACUGACGCUGAGACGCGAAAGCGUGGGGAGCAAACAGG
rnacentral:rRNA from 1 species